rnacentral:lncRNA from 1 species
GCAUGUACGUAAACAAAGAGGUGACUUCGGGAUCGCUUUUGAGAAAACCUGUGAAGGUGAAACAGAGGAAGUGAAACAGAGAUGGGUCGAAGCUUUGACAUGUGUAGCAACCAUAGCUGGAGAACACUCUCGUAACUGGUUGGUUUUGAGCUCAAUGAACCUGCAGAAAUUCUUUUUUAAUUAUCUUUCGUUUAAGAUUUUGUUUUUUUUUCCAGGACUGAUGAAGCUGAGAUGGUGGAAAAGCUUUCCACAGAUGUCUCGAACAAACUGAGAAUGGAAGAGAUUAAGAAAUUCUUUAGGGAAGCCGAUGUGGACCAGAAUGGUUUCAUAACUGCAGCAGAGCUUCGAUAUGUGUUGACAAAAGAUGGGAAGGAAUUUACCGAUGAGAAAGUUCGUCAUCUCAUUCGAGUAGCUGAUGUUGAUGGCGAUGGUCAGAUCAACUAUGAUGAAUUUGCCAAACUCAGCAUGGAUUUGUGAGGGCCUUAACCUCAAAGAAAAAACAAGAAAAAGAAAAACGAUUAUGAUGUCUUACAGUGAAAUCUUACAUCAUGAUUUAGAACGCUUUUGUCUCUCUUAAUUCAUGAAUCUAAUAAAAUUCUGUUUUUUUUUUCUUUUGUUAGGAUGACUGAUGAAGAUGCUGCGCUCGAAAAGUUUUCAACAGAUUUAGUGAAUAAACUGAGAUUGGAAGAGUUUAGGGAAUGCGAUGUAGACCAGAAUGGUUACAUAACUGCAGCAGAGUUUCGAUAUGUGAUGACAAAAGAUGGGAAGGAAUUUACCGAUAAGCAAGUUCGUGAUUUCAUCCGAGCAUUUGAUGUUGAUGGCGAUGGUCAGAUCAACUAUGAUGAAUUUGCCAAAUUCAUGGCUAUGUGAGGGAUUCUUAACCCUUCUUAAAAGCUUUAACCUGAAAAAAAACGGAUUUAUGAUGUCUAACACUGAAUUUUCAUCAUGAUUUAUCUAUAAUAAUCUAAUCAGAUUUUUUUGUUUUUAAUUUUUGUAGGGAGGCUGAUGAAGAAGCUGCGAUGGUUCGAAAGUUUGCCACAGAUGUUACACUGUCGAGGGAGGAAGAGAAAGCAAUUAAGGAAUUAUUUACGGGUUUAGAUGUAGACCAGAAUGGUUUCAUAACUGCAGCAGAGUUUCAAUAUGUGAUGAAAAAUAGUGGGAGCAAACUAACCGAUAAGGAAAUUCGUAAUUUCUUCCGAAGAGCUGAUGUUGAUGGCGAUGGUCAUCUCAACUACGAUGAAUUCGUCAAAGUCAAGAUGGCUGAGUGAGACAUUCUUAACCCUUUAUAGAUAAAGCCUUUGUUUAUAAUGUAAAACGGCUUUGUCUUUUUUUAAAAUCGAUGAUUCAGUCGUGGAGUUUCUAUAAUCUUAUAAGAUUCUGUUUUUUUUUUUUUUUUCUUUUGUUAGAAGGAGGAGGGCUGAUGAGGAAGCUGCGAGGGUCGAAAAGACUGCAACAGAUGUCUUGAACAAAGUGAAUAAAUUCGUCAAAUUCAUGGUGAAAGCUUUUAUCUUGAAGAAAAAAGAAUAACGAUUUACGAAUGUCUAAGUAAAUUUUCAUCAUGACUUGAACCUGGCUGUCUUCUUUAGGACAUGUUUUUACUUCUUUAAUUUCCACCUUCUAUUUGGUUGCUUUGUUAAGCUCUUCAAUUAAUGUUAUGUCAAGUAUGAACUCAUGUUUUGCUCAUCUUGUGACAUUUGAUUUUCUCUCUUUGUUUUUUUGUUUCUAUAUUUCUCUUGUUUUUUUUCUUCAAUAUAAUGUACUACAAAUUGGCCGCCAAAACGUCUAGGGUAGUUGAAAAUACUCAGACGACACAAGUUUAACCGGUAAAAAUUUGGUCAAAGAAAAAGGUCAACGCUCGAUUAGUCUCUCACAAAUCACUAGAAGGAAGAUUCCUGAUCUUUAUCACAAGAGGAAGCAAGAGACUGUAUUAUCUCGUUUUAAAACUAAACUAAAUUCUAAUCCCGUGUGUUUGCACAAGAAUUUUUUUUUGUUUAACGAAUUUCGUAAUAUAAUUUAUGUUUUUUGAGUUUAGAUAAAAUUAUUUUUAUAGAUAUAGUUUUUUAAUAAGUAAAAAUAUUUAUUUUUUUAAUUUAGAUAUAAUUUGCUUUUUAUAAAUUCUUUUUUAUAAUAUUAAAGAUAAUUGUGAUUAUUAAAAAUAUAAUUUUACCAUGUCCAUUCAUAUUAAUCCAAAAAAAAAUAUAAUUAUAAAAUUUUAAUUUUAACUUGCCCGUUCAUAUUACUUUAUAAUAUAAAUAUUUAUUAAAGUUUGAGAUGUAUCAACGGUAUUUUAUUUAUCAUGAAAUAUCUUAUAAAUAGUUUUCUAAAUUUAAUCUUUAAUAAAUGCAUGUAAUAAUUUUUAAUUUAUUUUUUUAUGUUUUUAAUUUUAUAUAAAAAAUAUAUUUUGGUAUACAUUUAUGAUUUUUUUUUUGUUUGUCAACAGCCUCAAUACCUAGUACAGUUGGGUUAACCAAACUGGUGGUAUUGAGUUUACAUACAUAACAUUUUGAAGGUAGAUCCGAGCACUCCUUGCUAGGUUAUCCGCCUUCGAGUUCUUUGCGCGUGGGAUAUGGGAUAUACGAAAGAAACUGAAUUUGUCUUUCAUCUUCAUUAUCUCCUCCAAGUGUAGAGCAAAAGCCGGCCAGUCUUCGGGUGUAGACACUAUCUUCACCAACUCUGAACAGUCCGUAGCAAAAGCGACUUCCAUCUUUUGAUUCUCCAACAUACAGUGCAUAGCCCAUAUAAGGGCUUCCAUUUCUGCGUGUAGAGGCGUAAGACUUUGUCUUACAUUUUGUGCUCCCAUUAUUUUCUCUGGAACACCUUCCUUAAAAUAAAACCAUCCUAGACCCGUUACUGGCUCCAUAUCUUUCCACGAUCCAUCAAUAUAGCACCACCAGCCUUCAUAGACUAUUGGUAUUGACUAGCUUGUAUUAUGACCAAGAUCUACAUGUGUUAAUUCCUGUUCUGAAUUUUGAGCCUCUUCCCAUAAAUUCGCUUCUGUUUAAGCUAUUUUUAGCGUAGCCCGUGGGUCAAUAUCGAUAUUUGAGUACACUUUCUCGUUUCGAGCCUUCCAAAUAUACCAUGCGAUCCAUGGAAAUUGUAUGUUGUUUUCCUCUUUUGGAAGUCUCCAAAACAGAUGAUCAAAAUUCGAAAAAACCGAUGGCCCAGGAAAAACCCCUGGGGGUGUUGGAAUUCGUGAUAAUGCCCACGUUUGUAACGCAGGAGGGCAUUCAAACAGAACAUGAUUAAUUGUCUCUUCUGCUGCUCCACACCGUGCACAUUGUGUGUCACAUUGUAUUCCCCGAGUACGUAACCUAGCCGACACUGAUAGGCAACCAGAGAUUGCUUGCCAUAUAAAAUGUUGUAAUUUCGGCGCACAUUUCAAUUUCCAGGUAUAUGGUUGUAAAACUUUAAUAUCAGGGCCAAAUGAGACCUCUGAGAUCCUUUCUGAAAAAUAUCGUUCAGUUUUGUAUCCCGACUUUACCGUGUAUUGUCCAGAUUUUGUGAAGUGCCAGCCCAAUGAGUCUGGCCUAUAAGAUCUACUAAUGGAAAUUCCACGAAUAAUUUCCACAUCCUCUGGGUUGAUAAUGGCCUUUAUCAGUCCCAGAUUCCAUGAGUUUGUCACUGGGUCAAUCAGAUGAUUAACCAUAAGAUUCGGGUAAUAAUUAAACCCCUUACAAGUGGCUGAUCUUGGGCGAGAAGAAGGUAUCCAAGGAUCAUUCCAUACAGAGAUUAAACAUCCUGAACCAACUCUUUUGAUUAGCCCUUUUUUAACCAAAGAUCUAGCCGAGAUUAUGCUUCGCCAUCCAUACGACGGCGAGUAGGAUUUCGCUGUGUCCAAAGGACUUGAGUUCCGAAAAUAUCGUCCUUUGAAUACCUGUGUAAACAUGGAGGUUGGCCUGUCAAUCAGUCUCCAUAAUUGUUUUGCCAGUAAAGCCGUAUUAAAAUCCUCUACAUUUCGGAAACCGAUACCUCCUUCUGAUUUGUCUCUGCACAUUUUUCCCCACGCUACCCAGUGCAUACCUUUAUGAUGUCCAUCAGAGCUCCACCAAUAUCGUGCUGCUGCACUUGCUAGUUUUGCCGCAGUAGAUUUAGGUAAUCGAAAACAUGACAUGACGAAGGUAGGCAUUGCGGAUGCCACUGAUUUAAUCAGAACCUCUUUACCGCCUUUCGACAACAAACGUGAUGUCCAUCUAUUGAUCCGAUCAUGUUGUUUUUCAGCUACAAAAUUAAAGAUUUUUGUUUUGGCGCCACCUAGGCUUUCGGGGAUACCUAAAUAGGAACCUGUCCCUCCAUCACAAGAAAUUCCUAAAAUAUGUUUCAUAUCAUUUCUAAUGUCUUCCGAGACCAAAUGACCAAAUUGAACUGAAGAUUUAUCAAAAUUAAUUUGUUGUCCCGAGACCCUUUCAUACUGUUUCAGAAUAGCCAGAAUUUUCUAGCAUUCAUCUUUAUUUGCUUUACAAAAAAAUAAGUUGUCAUCCGCGAAAAGUAGAUGUGAGAUCGAUGGACUUGCUCGUGCAAUUUUUAGACCGGUCAAUAGUUUUUCCUCUUCAGCUUUCUUAAUAUUGGAAAUUAGAACCUCCGUACAUAGUAUAAAUAAAUAUGGAGAUAGAGGAUCCCCUUGACGGAGUCCCCUCCCUGGGAUUAUUUGUCCCUUUGGUUGUCCGUUUAAUAGAACUUUGUAUUUUACCGAGGUAAUACAUCGCAUGAUCAAUUUUAUCCAUUUCUCCGCAAAACCAAGUCGUUUCAAGAGAUCUUCUAUAAAAGCCCAUUCCACACGAUCAUAGGCUUUGCUCAUAUCCGUCUUUAUCGCCAUAUAUUUAUUUUUGCAUGAUUUAUUAGUUCGCAGGCCAUGAAACAUCUCUUGGGCUAUUAGAAUAUUAUCUGAAAUCAAUCGUCCUGCCACAAAAGCUGAUUGUGUUUCCGAGAUCAGGUCCGAUAAUAACCUUUUAAGUCUUUGACAGAGUACUUUAGAUAUAAUUUUGUAAGCUACAUUACACAGACUAAUAGGCCGUAGUUCAGUCAUUCGCGUUGGCCUUUCUGUUUUUGGGAUUAAACAGAUAUUUGUCAUAUUUAGACGUUCAUCAAAAACCCCUGUCUCCAAGAAUCCGUUGACUAACGUACAAGAUCCGCCUUGAUGAUAUGCCAUGAGCGUUGGUAGAAAAGUGCUGUCAUUCCGUCGGGUCCCGGAGCUUUUUCCGGAUGCAUCAUGAAAAGUGCUUUUUUAAUUUCCUCUUCGGAUGCCAUAGCCGUGAGCAUUGCAUUACUUAUCUCCGAUAUUGAUGGUUUAAUAUUUCCCAAUGCCUCAUCAAAUUCCGUUGGCGAAGUCGAGGUGAAUAAUUCAUCAAAAUAUUUAACAGCCACCUGCUCAACCUCUUUUUCUGAAGUAACCCAUGUUCCUGCUGCAUUAUUCAAACCAAUAAUUCGAUUCCGUGCUCUUCUUUGUUAACCAGUGCAUGAUAAAAUUUUGUAUUUUUAUCUCCUGCCUUCGCCCAAUGAGAGCGGCUUUUUUGUUGCCAAUAUAAUUCUUCAUCCCUAUAAGCUUCCUUCAACUUUUUUGUUACCGCCAUCAAUUCCUCCUCUGUUCUUGUAUCAUCAUUCUGAAUGUCUUCUAUUAUGUUUUUUAAUUCAUUAAUUCUUUCCUGCCCAUAUGGCUUAAGGGUUUUUCUCCAUUUAGAUAUUUCUCUUCUGCAAUUCCGUACUUUGUCCAUGAACUUCACUUCCCCAUCGCCCGGAUCGAAGUCCCAACCUUUGGAGAUAGAUUCCAUUAAACCCUCUUUUUCUAUCCACCUCUUAUCAAAACGGAAUUGAGUUUUUUUCCGUGUCAUUUUAUCCUCAAUUGUUGCCAUUAUUGGCCUAUGAUCUGAUCCAAUCAUUGCGAGAUACUCAACAAAGGAAUGUGAGAAAACCUCAUGCCAAUCUUCAUUCGCUAGAGCCCGGUCUAAACGACAUCUAACGACUUUUGAAUUUCGUCGUCCCCUCCAAGACAUCUUAUUUCCUAAACAUGGGAAUUCUAAAAAACCACAGUCCCUUAUCAUUAAAUUAAAAGACACAAAGGUAGAAGCAUGUCUUAACGGACCUCCUUGUUUUUCAUUAUUACCCGUUAUCUCGUUUAGAUCUCCAAUAAUGAACCAAGGAUCCGACCGUGUAAGACUCAUACGUGUUAAUCUUUCCCAGACUCUAUCCCGAUUUUUUGACACUGGAUCCCCGUAAAUAAACGAGAGGUACAUUUUUUUCCGAGAAUAGUCGCUUCAAUAUCAAUAAUCCGAUUAUUUGAAAAUAAAAUUGUGACAUCAAAAGAAUCAUUAUAAAAUAGGGCAAGUCCACCACUUGCACCGCACGGCUCAACCGUAUACAACUUAUUAUAACCAAAAUGAAACUGAAAUUUUUGUAAAAAAGAAAAAUCUUGUUUGGUUUCUGAGAGAAACAUAAACUCUUGUCUGUGUUUCUUCCAAACCUCCCGAAGAUAGCUUAUUGUCCAGCGAUUCCCAAGUCCUUGGCAAUUCCAGCUGAGAAUUCUCAUUUUUUAAUGCUUGUUUCCAAUUUCCGCCUCUCUUUCGGGUUUGAUGGACCCUUUGGAGCGCCAUGAGAGCUACCGUCUCCGUUACGGUUUAUGACUUUUGCCACCUGUUUCUUACGUGGUGAAAUUAGUGCUUGCACCAUUCUCUUCUUUGAGCCACCGCCUAAAAAUUUUGAGUUUGUCUUCGUGGCUUUCUUCUUUGUACCCUGUUUGGAACCUUCGUCAAAAACAUCAUUCUACUCCGCCAUUUGGAUAUCGCCUUCAUUGAUGUGCCCUUGUCCUGAUCCAUCUUGUACCACCGGUAUAGCCCCAUUUUCAUUUCCCACGAACUCUCCCUCUUCCUGAUCCAUGCCUCCAAACUCUGCAUCCAAAUUUAGUUGGAGCUCCCCUGUUUCCAAACCGCUGUUAACCUGUUGUAAGAACUCUUGUAUGGCAUCAUGAUUCUCUGGUUUUCCUUCUGGUUCUUUGUUUACUGUUUCUAAAACCGGUGCCUCCCUUUCCGUACUUAACAGUGCGUCCAUAACCCCAGUGGUCUCUUCCUCCGUAGUGUCAAAAUCAAGAAAGUCAUCACCCUCAAAAUCUAGACUCUUCCUUGCUGAUUUUUCACAAAGAGCCUCCACCGAAACCGACUGUUCCUCUUGUUUCUCUUCCUGCACCAACCGUUUCUCUCCUGGUUUUUCAUUUGGCACCUGAACGUUGCUCUCCCAAGACCUAUUACCUUGUGAUUCAAAGACCAAACUCUUUGAUCUUAAUGACCUCUUCUGAAAAUCCUUUGGAGGGAUGUAACCAUGUGACCUAAAGACCCUCGACGAGCCCUCACCAGACCUCCUUUCCAUUCUUUCCUUGUGUUGUCUUCCCUCCUCCAUCACCGUAUGUGACUUGCCGUUCCGUUUAAAGUUUCCACCGAGCUCCUUGUUGACACCGUAUGUUGUUGCUGUUCUAUACGAAGCCGGACUCUUACCAUUUUGUUCCUCAUCUAGCUGAUCUUCUCCUGGUCUCCUUCCAUCGCUAUUCACCCGAGUAGGACACCUCAGUUGAUCAUGACAGAGACUAUGACAGAUUCUACAGAAUCCAAAUAGACGCUCAUACCGCAAGAAAACCGUUGUCUCCUCUCCACCGUCAAACUCCACCGUUGUUUCAAAACACAGAGGUUUCAGGCCAUCGAUGAUCACCUGAACUUUUCCAUCAUCUACAUUCACCUCCUCAACCUUACCAAGAGCUUUCCCAAUGCUUCGGAAAGUAACAUCUGCCCAGUAAUGGAGAGGAACUCCAAUGAUGCGGAUCCAAAAUUUGAUCAUUGAAGGGUAAGUUGGAUCAAUAAUCGGAGCCCACCGAACAAGAGAUAGCAUCCAGUAAUCAAAAUGGAACGGUUCCAUUUUCAUCACCUCGAGGACAUCUUCUUCCUUAUCAAACAUGAACUGGAAUUUUCCCAUUCCCAAAUCUGCACCUGCAACUCUGUCCUCUACUUUCCAAAUCCGAGGAAGCAUGUACAGCAGCGCCUUCAUGUCUUGAAGAUGAGGAUUCAUACACCUCCCAAUCAAGGUACGUGAAUAUCCCUCAAUGAGACUGGUGUUGUCAAAUUUCGGGACCGUGAUCUUCAUCCGUUUCAGUGAAAUUGCAACCUUCUUCUCCAUACCAGCCUGACCGACUUGAGAUCCUUUAGCACCGAUUAGCACACCUUGAGACAUCUGCUCAAACCGAAUAAGUACCGCUUGACUGUGAGAAAGAGAGGAAACUUGAAAAAAGAAAAUUUGGACUCGAUGAAUGAGAGAGGGAUGGGUAAGGUUUGUGCCUCUCCGCUCCUCUUUAUAAUGUGUGAUCCUCCGACUUGUCUUUCUACAGAUGGAAUCAUGAUAUCUCAUCUGUGAUUCCUCUAUUAAUUUCCCCGAUGUCAUUUUUAUAUAGUUGAAAUCCUGAGAUCUCUUCUCCGUAUCAAUUCCUCUUGAUCCUGUUCUUAAACUUUCCUUCCCCGAAACCAAUCUCUGCUUCACUGUAUCGGGAGGGGUAUCUGUAAUAUUGAUUUCCGAAUCCCUCCAUGUAUAGCGUCUAGUUCCAUUCCCCUAACAAGAGACUCUUCCCGUACUUUGAAUAUCCGAAUUUCCUUUUCGUUUGAUUUGGUCAAUCCAGACCCAUCUCAAUCCCAUAAACUUCCAUGAGCUACCGCAAGAACUUAUUCCCCUUAUCUUAAUCAAAUCAGAAUGAAAAUACACAGAUCUUAAGUUCCAAAGCAAAUCACUUCUUUCCCCUAGAUCCUUUUGCGGAAACGAACCGAAUAUCCGUACUAGAUCUGUUUCCUCCACUAUAGAUUCAUCCUCCACCUUAAUUUCCAGAAAGACACCAUACAAACCGAUACUAGAUUCCAUCGCCAAAACAACCUCAUUUAGAUCCCGUAUAUCGUCGCCAUCCUUUUGCUGUUGAGAGAGAGAAUUUUUAGAGAUGAGUUUAUUUUUGUUCUUCGUAUUCUCCCUCAUUAGGGGUGUUUAGCAUGUCUGCCACUAUCAUAAUACUGAAUUCUGGUAUACAUUUAUGAUUUAAAAUUAGUGAUUUUAGCUACCAAAAUAUUUUUAAUUUGGUUUUUAUAUAUAUUUUUAGUUCUAUAAUUUAUUAAAAAUAUUUUUUUAAUAUUUGAAUUAUACAUUUGACUCUUACUUGUUAUUUUAUUAUUAAUUUAUAAAUAAAUCAUAAUCAUAAAUAUAUUAUAUAUUCAACAAAAAUAUCAUAUCAUUUACAUCAUCAUAAAUAUUUUAUAUUUCAAAUAUGAUCAUUAUUUUCUAUAUGUAAAUUAUAUCUUUUUGUGUAAACCCUAAACCCUUAAAUCAAAUCAAAUCUAAAUUUAAAAAAUGGGCAAUUUUCUAAAAUGGUCCCAAAAAACUAAAAUAUCUUUAAUAGAGUCCUUACUUUUUCAAUUGGACGAAUUUAGCAUUCAUUAAACUCGGAAACCACGAUUAAAAACAAACCCUUCCGACUGAAUUUACUCUAUAUUAAUGAUUGAUCAAAAAAUUAAAUUUAUAGCAUUGGUAAAUGAAUAAUUAGGCAACUAGCAAAGAGAAUAUUUUGUUUUACCCAUUACUAUCCUUCUCAUUUUAUUUAUUUACACAACUUGCCAUUAGUUAUUUUUCUUUGCAUAUGACAUUACUGUAGAUACUGUUCAUCAGCGCCAACACUAUUCAUCUAAAAGAAGAUAUCAUUCAUAACUGGAUAACAUAAUAUAUAUAGAAGUUAUCGCGAUAAGGUUGUGUUAAUUUUGUUAUCAUAUAAUAUAUUAACAUGUUAAUAAAUAUAUAUGUUAAUUGUAAGUGUUAACAUAUAUAUCUGAUAAUUGUAACGUGAUAAUUCUAGAUGCUAUAAUAAAAUAUUAACAUGUUAACAAUAAUAUCUGUUAAUUAUAAAGUGUUAACAAAAAUAAACGAUAAAUAUAUCAUGCUAACAAUAAUAUAAAGAUUAUAUUAAUAUUAACAUAUAAUUUAUAUAAAAUGCUAACAAUAAUAUCAGCAUAAUAUGUAUAUUAACAAUAUUUUUGUGUGGUCUAGCAGACAUCUCAAUUUCUCUUUUUAAAUAAUUUUGUCGGGUCUGAAAAUGUGGAUCCAUUUGAUUUGCUUUGAAAGGUAAAAGUAUUGUGGUUUUUUUACCGUGAAUAGUCUUGUGGGACCAGAGCCAAAAAGCUGUCUCUUAAUUUUGUAAAUAUCUAAUACUCUUUAGUGCAAUUACUCAACCCUUCCCUUCCAUAAUCCUUUGAUUGGCGACGAAGUACGCUCUUAUUCAUCGAUACGAAGGUCAGGCUAGUGGCAUCUCUGAUCUAGCUUGGUCCUUGGAUUCGCACUACACUUGCUCCGCUUCCAAUGAUUGCAACCUUCGAAUUAAAUCUGGGACACUCGAGCUCCGUACGAUUGCCUCAAGGUGCUUAGAGGCCACACUAAUUUCAUCUUCUACAUCCACUACAAGAAUACACGAAUUUAGCGACACCAGAAAACGUCGGAAAAUAGUCGCAAAUCGAAAAUUUACGUCUGAUUAGCGACUAAAAGAAGUAGUCGGGAAUUCUUAGUCGCUAAUUAAUACAGUCGUGAAAUAGUCGUAAUUUGGCGACUAUUUUACGACUAAAUUGCGUGUGAUAUAAACUGACGUAACGUAGUCGUAAAUCCGUCGGCAAAUAUAGUGACUAAUUUACGACUAAUUUUGCGACUCGUUUACGACUAAAAUGCAGUCGUAUUCUUAAUAUCAACGUAGUAGCAAUUUAGUCGUUAAAUAAGCAGUCGUUAUUUAGACGGUAAAUAAACGACCAUUUGACGACUGUUUUGUGACAUAUUUACCUACUUAUUUGUGACUGUUUCACUACUAUUGUCGGAAAAUGAACAGUACUUUGUUGCACUUUUACGACUGAAUUGUGACUGAUCUGUGACCUUUUUCCGACAAAUUUAAGACUGUUUAGUGACUAUUUUGAUCAUAGUUUUUGUAAUUUGGUAUUUGCUAUUUAGAAACUCCCAAUUUUGAAACCUGUUUAUAAACAGUGCUAUAAAAUGCUCAUUUGAAUACUAAAAUCAAGAUCAAUAUUUUAAAAGCCAAAAACCAAUACAUUCAUCAUCAUCAUUAAUUUAAACCCAAAAAAUCUCAAAUGGUUUCUAUAUACAACCAUUAUAGAGAAUACAAAAUGAGAAGAGACAUACUCUUCUAAAGUUUCCGAGACAUUAAAAAGAGUCUUAAUUAAGGUUCCGAGACAUAAAAAAAAAAGUGAGAAGAGACCUACACAUCUAAGGUGGUACUUGAUGUUUGAGUUACAUGUGUUGUCGGAUCAGCCGGCGGAUCAUCAGGUUGUUGAGUGGUAGACUUCGCAGCAUGAAUGGUCGAUGGAGGAGUUUGACUAGCCAAAAAAUCAUUGAACCGUGGAUCAGUUUGAGUCAAGUACCUUUCAACCAUGGUGAGCUUCUCGAUCUUGGCUUCUUGUGCAGCUGAAGCUUUGGCAAACUCUGCUUCACGCCUUGCAUUCUCAGCCGCUUGGAGCUCUAUUUGGUGUUGAGCUUGUUGAAGCUGUUCCUGCAGAGUGCCGUAGGAUGCAGAGCUUCCUGGGUACUUCCUCUUGCUAUUGACGUACAAGUGAGAGAGGCUACCAACUCCAUAAGGUACACCUCUUUCACUCAUAAUAGUCGACUGCGAAUACAAAAAAAAGAGUCAGACAUAUGAUUCAUUAAACUAAAACAAUGUUAGAAUCAAAGGAAAAGCAAGAUAAAUCCAUAAAAGAAUAGAGAACCUUACCUGUAGAAACAAGUCGUUCUGCUCUUCCACAGUUAGCUCUCGACGAGGUGAUGUACCCUCAGGAUUGUCUGAGCUUUCAGGGUUUAGGGCAGACAACUUGGCUUCCAAGUUUUUCUGGUAAGUCUCAGCCACUCUCUUUGCCUUUCCAUCCACAUAACUCCCAUCCUUUUUUGUGUGAGUCCUGAUGAAUACCUCACCAAGACUCACCGGUCUACCUAAUUCCUCUUCCUGAAAUUAUAAACCAAAAUAUGUCAGCGGGUAAGUUAUUAAUCAUAUUUCCUAAAACUAACACUUAUUGAAGAAUAACAGAAUAGAAAGUUACCAUUUCUUGCUGGAUUUGCAGAUAGGAUUUCUGUCCUGAGAAGUGAACGUGAGGUCCAAGACCACCACGUUCAGACAACCGAGCAGCUGAAGUUGUUGAACUCUUAUCUUUAGAUUUUUCUGUGUCCCAAUAGGCAGUCAUUUGUUCCCAGAGUGUAUCCCCGAUCCAGUUAGGUUGCACUCUUGAUGUCCUUACGGUGCUGACCAUAUCCUUCAUCCGGCUUUUGCAAAUGCUUUCAAAUUUUUCUUGAACCACACCAGUGAUCAAGGGAUCCCAGGUGUGGGUUUUCUACAACAACAAGAGACAAAGAGAUGAUGUUAGAAUAAGACAUAGUUACAAAAACAAAACAAAACCAUGUAAAUGAAAAAGGAUGAUCUUACCGCAAAUUCUAUGAAGUAACGCUCUUGUCUAUGACAACUCCAGCUGUAGAAAAGGCCAUCAAACUUGUUGGUGAAUACCUUGGUAAUCUUCCGGGUAAGAGAGGACUUGUCACGACCAAACCUGGAUACAAAGAAAACAAAGCAAGCAGUCAUCGAGCCAUCAUUUGAAGAAUGAAACAAAUGAAGCUAGAGUAAAAAAGACUUACCAUGUUGUACCCGGUUUCUCUAUGGGAGAUAGUACCGUAGUGUAAGCCUCUCUCCCAGGCUUCGUGAGCAAUGCAUUUAGAAGACUUAGCUGGUCUUCAGAGAGGUUGACAUCACCGUAUUCUUCAUCUGAAGGUUCUUGAAAUGCAGCUUCUUCACCGUCAUAAUGAGCUUGUUGAGAGUGUGGAGAAUUACCUCCUUCUUGAGAUAAUGGAGAGGCUCGGUUUUGAGAGAAAGAAGAAGCUCCAGAAGCUCCUUGGUGCUGCGAUUGAGGUAAUGCAGAAUGCUGCCGAUGAGAUUGCUCUUGCAACCGGUGUUGAGGAGAUGGAGAGAAUCGAGUUUGAGAAUGUUCUGACCUUCUAGGUUGAGGCGGUGGUUGAGACUCAGGUGCUCCUUGUUGCGAGUUCUGGAAGAGCUCCAUCGGCGGUGGAUAAUCUCUUACAUGUGUAGGGCCGUUGGUCGGGCCUAGCGGUGGUGGAGAUGUCGCCGGUAUGAACUCAUACCGACUGGGUAAGGGAGUCGAUGCUCGACUGGUUACGGCUGCUCCUCCUCGUGCUCCUCCGCGUUUCUUCCUUCCACGGCCACCCAUCGGAAUCACAGAAUCGGCUUGGGAACGAUGCUCAUCGGGAAUUUCGGGAUGGGUUUUUCGUCGGGAUCGAUUCAGGGUUUCGUCGGGAUGGGUUUUUCGUCGGGAUUGUCGGGAAUAGCGGUCGAUUAAGGAUGCUAGUAUCAAUUAACAGUCACUUUUGGUCGAAAUUGGGGAUUUGGGGAAGAGAAUGGAUUUGGGGAUGAAAUUAGGGUUAGGUUUUAGAAAGGAUUUGGGGAUUUCUCGUGAUUAAGGUUGAAAACGACUAAGUAUAUUAGUGGGCUUAGUCUAAAUAAUGGGCCUGAUAAUGGGAUUACACGUGGGCUUUGUUUGUGGGUUAAAUUUUGGGCUAUUAGUAGUAAAGGAGUCGGAAAUCAGUCGUAAAUUUUUAAUUUUUUUUUUUAAAAACAAACACAAUUUAUCUUACAAUACAACAAAUUCAUUCAGCAAUUUUAUUCAUAAACAGACACAUAUUAGUAAGGAUCCUCUUCAUCUUCAUCAUCAUCAUCAGAUGAUGACAAAUUACAUCUAAAUUCAUCUUCUGGUUCUGCAUCUCCGACAUCGUAAUCGAGAUUUAUUGGGUUUACCCUGUGUACUCGAUUUUCAACAACGAUAUCUUCAAUUGUGGUCAGCAUAACGCCAUCAUCAUUAUCUUGUUGCAAGAGAGUUGGUUCUUUGUCUUCUUAUUGUCCUGAAAUAUUCCCUCUUGGAUUCACUUUUAAGACGUUUAGCCACAGCUGCUUUAGUUUUUUCCGGUAUGGAUAUGGAAUAUAACAAACUUGAUCUGCUUGGGAGGCUGUAGAAUACAAAUAAAAUUAAAAACAAAAAACAUUAAAUGUAUUGCUUUAAUUUGUAUAUUCAAUUUAUAUCAUUUUUACCUAGAAUAAAUGGUUCGUAUUUAUUGUACUUUCUUGAUGAAAGAAUGUCAACGAGACCACCAUUGCUCCUUCGAGUGCCUCUACCAAUUACAGGGUCAUACCACUCACAUUUGAAAAGUGUAAUUUUCAGAUUUGUCAUCCCCUCAUACUCGAGUUGUAUGAUAUCAUUUAAGAUCCCGUAAAAAUCAGCUUCAUCAGAUGCAUCAGUGUAGUUUUCUCCUUUAACACACACUCCAAAGUUACAUGUCUUCCGUCCCAUGCCAUGGUGGCGUGUAUGAAACAAAUAUCCUCUCGUAAAGUAAAUUGGCCAGGUUUUGGCUUUAUUGACUGGUCCGUGAACCUGAACCCAAAUAGGAAAAGGGUUUGUAGUGUUCCAGUAAGUAACCUGCACAUAUACAGGGGCUUCACCUUCGUCAAAUCUUGUUAACCUUUCCCAUUACAUAAAAAUCAAUAUAAAUUCACAUGUUAAUGUAAAAUUAUCCUGUGGCCAAUAUUGACUUAUAAAUAUGAACUAUCCAUUUGGAGUUUACCUUGAUUUUGUUUGUAUAUGAUCGGGAAAGUAGUGCUCCGUAAAAUAAGCAAUCUCGUCGUUGAUAUAUGAUUCAACAAUCGAUCCUGAUGCAUAUCUUUUGUUCUUCGCUUUUGCUUUCAGUUUUUUGAAAAACCUUUCAAAAGGAUACAUCCACCUAUACUGCACAGGACCUCCUAAUUCAGCUUCAUAAGGAAGAUGUAUAGGCAAACGCUCCAUUACGUCGAAAAAUGAUGGUGGAAAAAUCUUCUCCAAAUUGCAUAAGAUUAGGACUAUGUUUUGUUUUAGGAUUUGGACCCUGUUUUUUUGCAAAGUUCUUGAACAUAAGUCACGAAAGAAUCCUCCAAUACCUAAAUAUAUUAAAGUCCAAUUAUAAAUAAAUUACUAUAAACAUAUAUUAUACAAGUACUAUUAAAUAGACUAUAAAGUACCUGAUAAUGCAAGGUGGACGUUACGGUCCAAGAGUUCUGCAAAGAUAAAUGGAAGUAGUCGUUCCAUAAAAACAUGGCAGUCAUGACUCUUCAUGCCGGCAAGCUUUACUUUUUCAAUAUCAACACAAGCAGCUAAGUCUGACGCAUAACCAUCUGGGAAUUGUACUGCUUUCACACAUUCCAAUAAUCUUCUUUUAUCAGCUUCUUCCAAUGUAUAUACCGGAAAAGGGGCUUGCCCAUUUUCAUCAACAUGUAAGUGUGCCCGAUCACAGAAUCGUUCUAUAUCCAAUCUUGACUUUAUAUUGUCUUUCGAUUUACCUGGCACACUCAUUAGAGUAUUCAUGAUGUUAUCAAAGAAAUUCUUCUCUAUAUGCAUCACAUCAAGAUUAUGUCGGAGAUUGAGGUCCCUCCAGUAAGGCAACUCCCAAAAUAUACUUUCUUUGUGCCAGUUAUGCCACUUCCCAUAUCCAGGCAUCUUUUUUUCAUGACCGUUGCCACCGCAGUCAGUCGUUUUUGCAGGAUUGACAGUUUCUAUGCGCUCACUAUAAACUUGUUCACUUGUCAAAGACUCUGGUGGUGACUCAUUUAUAGCUUGUCUACCCUUCAAAAAGUCUUUUCUAUUCUUUCGUAAUGGAUGACCAUGGGGGAGAAACCUUCUAUGACAAUCAAACCAACAUGUCUUUCUUCCAUUAGGCAGAUAGAAUGCCUUUGUAUCGUCCAAACAAAUUGGACAAGCCAAUCUACCAUGGGUCGUCCAUCCUGACAACAUGCCAUACGCGGGAAAGUCGCUUAUCGUCCACAUCAGCACAGCCUUUAAUUUGAAAUUCUGCUGCAAAGAUACAUCAUAUGCAUCGAUACCAGUUGACCAUAAUUCUUUUAAUUCCUCGACAAGAGGCCGGAGGAAGAUAUCGAGACUGGCACGCGGAUGAUUUGGCCCAGAAUUCAAUAUUGUGAGGAACAAGUACUCAGUCUUCAUGCACAUACCAGGGGGUAAAUUAUAAGGAGUCAAGAUCACAGGCCAUAACGAAUGAUUACGAGACAUGCCAAAUGGAUUGAAUCCAUCUGUACAUAAUCCAAGAUAAACGUUACGGGGUUCUUCAGCAAACCGGGGAUGUAAAUCUUGAAAAUAUUUCCACUCUGCAGCAUCAGAGGGAUGACACAUUUCACCCUCCUUUGCUUGGUGUUCAGCAUGCCAUCUCAUUGCCGCUGCAGUCUUCUGGCUCUGAUACAGCCUCUUCAAUCUAUCACCAAUAGGUAGAUACCACAUACGACUAUAUGGUAUUCUGGUUCGUGAACGUCGUCCUUCGUUAGGCUUAUAUCUUGGUGACUGACAGAAUUUACACUCCUCCCACAUUUCAUCUUCUUUCCAGAAGAUCAUACAAUUGUUAAUACAAACAUCAAUUUUGUGAAAUGGAAGCCCCAAAUUACCCAUCAAUUUCUCUGUCUCGUAAUGUGACCUGGUUGACUGAUUUCCUUCUGGUAAAUACUCCGUAAACAAAGAUGCCCACGAAUCCACACACUUUUCACUCAUAUUAUAAUCUACUUUAUUUUGCAUGAACCGAGCAGCUAAAGAUAACUGCGAGUGACCUUCAUGACAACCAUCAUAUAAUGGUUUUUUCCCAACUUCUAACAAGUCGUAAAAUUGUUGAGGAUGGUUACGCACCGGUUCUUGUACAUUCUGAUAACUAUCUUCUUGAUGAUAUGUAUCAUCUUGAUGAUAAUUACCAUGAAAUGCAUCAUUCACCAUAUCCACAUAUCUAUCUCCUACUACAUUACCCAUAUUUUCUUCACUCCAAUUUAAAUGAGUUAUAUUACCAUAACUAGUUCCAUAAUCCAUAGUAAUUUCUUCCCCAUGCUUAUACCAAAUAUAGUAAUCUGGUAUGAACCCUUUACUAAAGAGAUGGUUCCAAAUUUUUUUUCCCGGCAAAAAUUUAUUAUUUUUGCAAACACUACAAGGACAGUAAAAUUUACCGCCAUUACUCUGCGUUAGCGUCUGGUUGUUCGCAAAAUUGAUAAAUUGUUCUACUCCGGUUACAAAUUCCGAAUGGAAAUUUUCUGUUUCUUCGUCGAUCCGUUUAUACAUCCACUCUCUAUUAUUAUUAUUGUUACUGAAAUUUCCAGACAUUAUAUCUAGAAACGCUCUCCAGAAUUUCAGAGCUUUUAGAUUGUGAUUGUGAGUGAAUGAAAAGAAGAUGCGUGGAUCUGUAUAUAUAGAAAAUUUUACGACUAAUUUGCGACCGAUUUGCGUCUAAAUAGUGACUGCCGUGUUUUAGUCGCAAAAAACCGGUACACCUACCACAAAAGUUAAAACACGUGUUUUUUAUCAAGCGACUCGACAAAUACGUCGUACAUUGGUCGGUAAUUAACGACCAAAUUACGACUGUUUGUAUUUAAUACUAAUUAGCGACUGUUUGACGACUAUUGCUAGUUAAUCACUAUUUAGUCGGGGUGUAGUCGUUAAACAGUCGUAAAACGUUACGACUGUUAAAACAGUCGUAAAAUGCAGUCGCUAAUUUCAUGUUUUCUUGUAGUGAUCAAUUACAAUCCUCCGUCGAAUCUGAUUGUGUCCGGUUCAUUCGGCUAGACGAUUCGGAUCUGGAGGGUGAAAAUAGAUAAGCUCACCCUAUGCUAGUUAGGAGCGUGCACUUCAAUCGGGAUGGUUCGUUGAUUGUUUUGGGAAGCAAUGAUGGUUCUUGCAAAAUCUGGGAUGCCAAAGAAAGAACUUGCUUCAAGACUCCGAUUGAUGAUAAAUCUCAUGAUGUUUCCUUCGCCAAAUUCUCUCCUAAUGGGAAAUUUAUCCUUGUUGCCACUCUAGAUAGUACCCUCGUAAGUUGAAAAAUUCAGUUCCAAAUUUUGUAAUGUUAAAUUUGGUUUGAAUGAUCGCUUAGGCUAUGAACACACGAAAAGUAAAGAAUCUAACUCCUUGUUGGAUUAAUCUGUGAUAAAUUCUGAAUAUGAAUUGAAGAAUGUAGAGUUUUGGUUUGAAAGAUCAUUAGGUUCUGAAAUUUUACAUGAUUUAGAUUCAAACUGUUAUGGUUUUGUCUUUGAUGGGUUCUUGCAUUAGUCUUCUAUGUUUGAUCUUGAUCAUGAUUUAGAAGUUGUGAUCGACAGUAGCAGGAAACAAACAAAUAUUAACCAUAGAACUUAUGAUAUGCAGCUCUUCUCAUGAACUUUUGAUUGACAGUAGCUCUUCUUGUAGAUAUUUCAUUCUCUAAGAAAAGAAAAAAAAAGUGGCACGAUCAUUGAAUCUUGAUCUAAAGAGAUUGUGCCAAGAAACCAGCUGAGGCGUUAUUUUUGAUAGAAUGACCUUUCUAUGGUUAAAAUUUUAGGAAAUCUUUAUAAACAUUUAUGAAGGUUUCCCUAAAAGUUCAGAAAGACAUCCUAACUCUUUUAAAAAUGUCAGAAAUAUUUUAUUAAACAUUAGUAAAGCUUGUAAACCUAUAUUGAGUGGAAUUUCCUAAUCAUUUAGCAACCAUUCACAAACCCGUGUAUCUUCUAUGGUCUAUGCAUCACUUCUCUUCAAACUAUUUGUUUUUUUUUUUUUUUUUUUUUUGGGGUCAUCAGGUUUUAUGCUGAGAGCCUCUCGGAAGAAGAGAUUGCUGGUUUAAGAGAAUUGUUUCAGGCAAUGGAUAUUGAUAACAGCGGCGCUAUUAAGUUUGAUGAACUCAAAACUAGGCUGCGGAAAUAUGGAUCAACCUUGAAAGACACAGAUAUGCAUGAUCUAAUGGAAGCGGUAAAAUCUAAUCUCAUUUGGCUACAAAAUGAAAGUUAAUUAUUGUGUGUUUUCAGUGACGAGCUCUUGUAUUGGCAGGCUGAUGUGGAAAACAGUAGGACAAUUGAUUACAGUGAGUUCAUUGCAGAUACUAUCCAUAUAAACUAACUGGAGCAGGAAGAACAUCUUUUUUUUUUUUUUUUUUUUCUCUACCCAACUAUUACAAUCAUAUUUGACCUAUAAAAGAAAUGGUAUGUGGACCAUCUUCGACAGGUUCGUUAUGAUCGAUUUGGGAAAAAAUAACUCUUCUUGCUCGAGCUCCUUUUGCAAGACUAUCUGCCCGGACAUUUUAAGUUCUCGGAAUAUGGAAUAAGGUGAACUCUGAGAAGCUCUCGCGAAGUAGACGGAGGAAUUCCAACUCUGACAUAAAAGACGGCCAAUCUGCCGGAGAUUCACACAUGCUUACGAGGUCCGAACAGUCGGUCUGAAAAUGCACCAAAGUCAUUUGUCUAUCUCUUAGGCAUAACAUCGCCCAUAAGAAGCAAUCCAUUUCGGCGUGAAGAGCCGAGAGGCUUCUACGACAUCCCUGUAGUCCAAAAAUCUCAUUUCCUCUGCCAUCCUUAAAACUCUAACCAAGGCCGUUAACCUGUCCGUGAUUGAUCCAAGAAGCGUCAAUCCGGCAUACCGGGUGCGGUGGUACCUCAGGUAUCGAUAUCGUGGCCAGAAGGGGGGCCAACGCUUCAGCGUGUAUGUCAUCAUUGUCUUCAGGUUGGUUUGCUAAUCUCCAACUUUCUGCCUCCACCUUUGCGUGGAUCAAGGUGUCUUCUGGUGAAAUUUCUUUCCCCUUGAAGAUUUUCUCGUUCUUUGCUUUCCAAAUAAACCAUAGGAUCCAAGGAUAUACAUCCUUUUGAGGAUCUGUCAUGCCUUGCUCUUUUGUUUUCCAAAAGAGGAAUCUCAUAUUUUGAUAAAUAGAGGUACUCGGGAAGACACCCAGAAGGGACAAAAAGUCCGAUAACGCCCAGACUUGUAAGGCCGGGGGACAUAAAAACAGUAGAUGGUUAAUAGACUCCUCAGGAUCCCCACAGCGAGGGCAACGUUUGUCUGAGCCCAUAUGUCGGUAAAUGAGGUUCUGGCAUGUAGCAACGCACCCUGUGUUCGGACUUUCCAAACAUGUCGUUGGAGGACCGUAAUACUUGGUUCCCUCAUCGCUCCAGCUUCUUGUUCCAGCUUCGUCCUUCGAAUCAGAUCAUAUCCCGACUUAACUGAGUAAAGUCCCGAUUUGGAAUGAUUCCAUGCAUAUCUAUCCAAGGUACGGGUACGACUAGGUCUCAAUCCGAGGAUGAGGGAGACAUCCUCCGGUUGGAAAUAUUGUCUAAGUAAGGGGACGUCCCAUUGAUUUGAAUCUUGACGGAUAAAAGAGUACACCAAAGUCCCAGGGUUCUGGAAACCGAUCUGCGGGAUGGCUCUUGGCGGCCGAGCUCUAAGAUUCGGGAUCCACGGUUCGCGCCAAACUCUCGUAUUUAAAUCCGAGCCAAUCGUCUUCCUUAAUCCCAUCUUUAGGAACGGUUUUGCGGCUAUUAUACUCCGCCAUCCGUAGGAUGGUGAGUAGAAAUUUCGGUCCUCAAGGGGAUCGUAUUGUCUAUAAUAUCUGCCUUGUAAAACCCGAGCCAAGAGGGAUGAAGGGUACUGAAUAAGGCGCCAUAGCUGCUUAGCUAGAAGAGCUAAGUUAAAGUCUUGUAGGUCUCUAAAUCCAAGGCCUCCCAUAUCCUGGGGAAUGCAAAUUUUAUCCCAGGCAAUCCAGUGUAUCCUCCCGCUAUUCUGCUUUGAACUCCACCAAAAAUUAGCUAUAGCACUUUUCAGUUUGUCCGUCACUCCUUGAGAUAAUAGAAAGCAUGACAUGACAUAGGUUGGUAUCGCUUGUGCGACCGCUUUUAUUUGAAUUUCUUUUCCACCUUUGGAAAGAAGUCUUGCGGACCAAUUGUUGACACAGCUACUCAGGCGGUCAUGGACAUAGGAGAAUACUUUCUUUUUUGAUCCGCAGAUUUGUUCUGGGAGACCCAGAUACAUACCCAUGCCACCCUCUGAAGUUAUUCCGAUGGCAUUCUUAAUACCUUGCUUUAUAUUCAUAUCCACUCUAUUUCCGAACAUAAUCGAUGAUUUGCCCAGGUUGAGUUGUUGUCCUGAGGCUGAUCCAUAUGUAUUAAGAAUCCUGAAGAUCUCAGCUCCUUGCUGGAUAUCCGCUUUACAGAAAAAUAGACUAUCAUCAGCAAAUAGAAGAUGUGAAACUGGUGGACUUGCUUGAGCUACCUUCAGCCCAGAAAUACGUUUUUCAUUCUCUGCUCCAUAGAGUAGUGAUAUAAGAGCUUCAGUACAUAGGAUGACGAGAAAGGGAGAUAGAGGGUCUCCUUGCCGCAAACCUCUUGAUGGUAUGAUUUUUCCUUUUGGUUCUCCAUUUAUAAGGACUUGGUACGAAACCGAGGAAACGCAAAACAUCAAGAGUUUAACCCAUCUCUCUGAAAAUCCUAGCUUGAUCAUUAGGGUUUCAAGAAAGCUCCAUUCUACCCGAUCAUAUGCUUUACUCAUGUCUGUCUUGAUGGCCAUGAAGUUUUCUCGACAAACGGAGUUAGUACGAAGGGCAUGAAAAUUUUCUUGUGCCAACAAGAUAUUGUCUGUAAUGAGGCGGCGGGCCAUGAAGGCCGAUUGGGUCUCCGAAAUUAGGUUUGGUAAUGUUCUCUUUAGUCUUUUACACAUAAGCUUAGAAAUAAUCUUAUAGCUUACAUUACAAAGACUAAUCGGUCGGAAUUCCGUCAUUGCUCUUGGCUUUUCGUUUUUGGGGAUCAGACAUAUGUUAGUCUGAUUAAGUCUAGGAUCAAAAGAUCCUGAAGCGAAAAAAUCUUUCACUAAUUUUACUAUGUCAUGGCGAAAAUCAUGCCAGAAUUUUUGAUAAAAUUUACUCGUCAUUCCAUCCGGACCGGAGGCUUUAUCUGGGUUAAUAUCAAAAAGGGCUUCCUUAAUCUCUGCUUCUGAAGGAUCCUUUACAAGGAGUUGAUUAGAGGUGUCUGUAACUUUCUCGGUUAUAUACCAGAGUGCGUUCUCUGGAUCUGAGGGCUGAGAUGAUGUGAACAGAUCUUGGAAGUAUCGUGAGGCCACCCGUUCAAUACCUCUUGCAUUUUCCACCCAGUGUCCAUUACUAUCCUUCAAGGCAAUGAUACGGUUCCGACUUCUCCUUUGUUUAGUAAGGGCAUGAAAAAAUUUUGUGUUCUUAUCCCCUUCCUUAUGCCAGCGCUCCCGACUUUUCUGUUGCCAAAAAAUUUCUUCCUCACAAAACGCUAAGCAGAGUUUUCUUCUGAUCUCUUCAAUUUCUUCUGUUGUUGUGUUCUCAUCGUCUUGUGCUUCAUCUAGCUCCUUCUUCAAAGUCUCGAUCAUCGUCUCCGAGUUAGUUGGGAGAGAUUUCUUCCAAAUGGAGAUGUUCCUGCGACAAUUUGCAAUCUUUUGGUGGAAAUCCCGACGUGAGAUUCCAUCAGAAGAGCCCCAUCCAGUAAUAACCGCUUCUUUAAAUCUCGGCUUUCCAAGCCAUCUUUUAUCAAAGCUAAAUAAUUUUUUCUUUUGUUGGUUAUCUAUUCUUAUCAUGGCUAAAACCGGUUGAUGAUCUGAUCCCCAUAGUUGGAGAUACUCCACAGAACUGUAGGAGAAUUUUGAAUGCCAAUCUUCGUUCCCGAUGGCUCUAUCUAGACGGCAUUUGACUUUGCCCGAGCGCCUCCUUCCAACCCAUGAGAAUAGUUACCCUUAAACGGGAAUUCAAGCAUACCACAGUUGUCGAGCAUAGUUCGGAAGGGUAUGAAAGAGUAUUCAGGUCUCCUACGCCCUCCCCGUUUUUCAUGAUUUCCGGUAAUAUCAUUAAAAUCUCCUAUCAUAAACCAGGCUUCUUUUCUAUGGAGGCUCAACCGAGUGAGACGCUCCCAAACAUUCUCUCGGUUUUUUACUACCGGAUCUCCGUAGACGAAUAUCAUAAAAAUUUUGUGUCCGUCUAGAGUAGUUUCUACAUCGAUCAAAUGUUCAUCCGAAUAAGAAAUAGAAACCGCAGGUUCAUCCAUAUAAAAAAGAGCUAGACCGCCGCUUCGACCUCUCGGCUCAACGGUACAAACAUGGUCAUAGCCAAAGUACACUUGCAUAUCUUGCAUAAAAAACGAUUGUUCUUAGUUUUUGACAAAAAUAAAAAACGAGGCUUAAAACAGUAAAAAAGUUCUUCUAAAUGCUCUUUCGUCAAGUCGGCUCCCGCCCCUUGACAGUUCCAUCCUAUGAAAUUCAUUUUGGGCGAUUUUCUGGCUUCUGGGCUCCACCUGUACCAGAAGAUGAGGAUUUUUUGGCCUUUUGGGCCUUUGAAUUUUUGUCACCCUUAGCCUUCUCACUUUGCUCCUUGCUUGGUCUUGGGCCCAACUCUGCUUUCUUCCCUUUUGCUUUUCCUUUUGGUGAAAUGCGGCCCAAAAGAUUUUUUUUUCAGAGAGAUUCCAGGGUUCGCCGGCGAUCUCGGGAUCGAUUUCUUCUUCCCAUUAUUCCGGCCAUGUUUUGCGACACCCGCACCCGACUCCAGACCCGCAUCAGGUUUUAUCGGGCUUCUCCACCAAGAGGCAACUUGUCUCCCUUGAGCAGGAAGAACAUCUUGUCGCUAGGUUUUAAUACUUUGACAGACGGAAGCGCUUCCUAAAACAUUAGGAAAAACUUUGUAAACCUUUUUAAUAUUAAUGGUUUCUCUAAACUCUUAAGAAAUAUUCAUAUAUAAUUCAUAAAUUUUUGAAAAAAACUUUCAUAAAUCCUUUUAGUUAGACUUUUUAUCAUUUAGGAAAGCGUUCCGUAAAGUUUAAAAUGGCUUCCUAAAUCAUUAGAAAUUUUAAUGUUCAAAAAAAUCAUUAGAAAUGCUCUGCAAACCUAUUAGUGUUUCUAGAGGUUUUGAAACUCUUAGGAAACGUAUAUAAACCCUUCAUAAAAUUCGUAAUAAGAAUUUCUUAACAUUUAGAAAAGCAUUCCUAAAAAUUUAUAAAAGCUUUCUAAAACGUUGAAAAGCUUCUUAGAGCAUUAGAAAUGCUUUGUAAAUCUUUUGAAAUUUCGAGGGUUUAAAAAUCUCUUGAGAAAACUCCUUGAGAAACCCUUGAAAGAAACAUUCUUCAAAAUUUAGGUGGUCAUUUUCUUGUUUCUUGAUUAUGAAAGAAGACAUUCCUAAAUUUGUAUGAACCUUUUCCAAUAUUUAUAGAUGCUUCCUAAAUUUAGAGUUUCGGAAGCCUUCUUACUUUUUAGGAAUCAUUUUUACAAAUUUAAGAAUGCCCUCCUAAAUCGUAUAUUAACCAAUUCAUAUUAAGUUCACAUUUUAGGAUCAGAAGACAUUCUUCUGAUUAGCUAAACAAAUAUUGUUUGAAGCUUGGGGAAUACGGGCUUCGGGCCCAGAACCUCUUGGUAAUCCAAAAAAAAAUAUAGAUAUAUUGUUUGAAUAAACAAAAAAGAGAAUCAUGCGAUGAAGUGGAUGGGACUACGAGCAGUCGAGCAAGAUUCAAUUCGCAUUCAGCUGCGAGGAAAAUAACAUGAUACUUGAGUUGCGGAGUACGAACUUUUGAGUAGUGGAAGUUAGGGCUGGAAUUAUUAUCCGGUAUCCGGUAUCCGGUAUCCGAUCCGGUAUCCGGUCCUAUCUGAUACGUAAAAACCAAAUAUCCGUGUAGUUCGGAUCCGGAUCCGGAUAGUGAAAUUAAAUAUUCGUUUAUUUCUGAUACGGAUCCGGAUAAUAGAAAAUUUUGAAACCGGAUAUCCAUUAUCCGUUUGUUAAAUAUUUAUUUAUUUUUAGUAAUAUUUAUUCAUUUUUUAAAAUUAACUUUAGAAUUAUUUUUGGUUUAACUCCUUUACAUAUGAUUGAAAUUCAUAUUGUGUGAUAAUUUUCUAUUUUAGAUUGUGAGAUAAGAACAUAAAAAUGGAUAGCAUAUAGAAAUGAAGAUAAAUUAACUUCUCUAUUACUAUUUUCUUUUUUGUUAUGUAAACUCUUAAACUUUAUGCUAUUUGAAUUUACUUGAAUGUUUUUUAGUUUUUGCUAUUUGUAACUUACUAUGAUGAUACAUUUUAAUUAUAUAUGUUAUCUUAUUAUAACUUAUAAAAAAUUAAAAAAAAAAAUCAACGAAACCACCGGAUAUCCGGAGUUUUCGGAUCCGGAUCCGGAUAGUAAAACUGAUUAUUCAGUGGAUCCGGAUCCGGAUCCGGAUAUCUUAAAAAUUCCGGAUAUCCGGCUCCGUUCCAGGCCUAGUGGAAGCAGCAAGUAUUAUGUCAUUUUCAAACGAAUUAAAAGUCGGUUUAGUUAUCAAACCAAAUUUACAAUUGGAAGGGGGUUUAGAAUCAUAAUUUGAAUCUUUUCACGGUGGUGGGGGUUUAGAACCCUCAUUUUGAAUCUACCUAGUUCGUCUUCUUCUAAUUUAUCUCCUGUCAGAUUCUGAUAUUUUUAUCUCUGAGCUCAAUUUACAAAUUCAUAUUCCGGUUUACAAAAUAAAAACAAGCCAGUGGUCAAAUGUCUUUGGUCUUUAAGCAUUUUGCUUUCAGAUGUAUAAAGAAGGGAUUUGUUUCUUCCUCCAGGCUCCAUAGAUAUCUUAUCCAAAGCUACUGUGAUAGAUACUUUCUUCAACCUCUCUGUUUACUCUCUCUCUCUCUCUCUCUCAGUCUCUAGUCAAAGCCAGUGGUCCUCUCCUCGGCGGCUAUAACAACAAAAGAAAACAAACUUUUGAAACAAGCCAGUAGUUUCCACUACAGUUCUCAUACAAAUUCCUUUGAAUUUUCCUCUCCUCUUUACCCGUUUGGCUUAUAUAUAUGAACUAAGAAAGCUUGUUUCCUCAAACCACUGCUAUACUUUCUUCAAACUCUCUUUUGCUCUAUCUCUCUCAUGGCUUCUUCUUCUCCUCCUUCUCCUUGUGCUUAUAUUAAGAGAUACGAUGUCUUUCCAAGCUUCAACGGGCCAGAUGUUCGUAAAGGACUCCUCAGUCAUUUACACGAUCACUUUUUAAGGAAGGAAAUCAAAAUGUACAAGGAUGAUAAGAUGGAGAGAUGCCAACGAUCAAACGUGAACUCGUGAAAGCGAUUAGAGAAUCGAGGGUCUUGAUGGUUUUGCUCUCGAAAAACUACGCUUCUUCGAGCUGGUGUUUGGACGAACUGGUGGAAAUCUUGAAGUGCAGAAAAGAUAAGGAACAGAUUGUGAUGCCUAUUUUCUACGACCUUGAUCCGUUCCAUGUACGCACACAGAGCGGUGACUUCGGAAGCGCGUUCGAGAAAACCUGCGAAAACCAAACAGAGGAAGUGAAGCAGAGAUGGGUCGAAGCUUUGAAAUGUGUAACGACCAUAGCUGGAGAACAUUCUCGUAACUGGUUUGUUUUAACCUGCAUAACUUCUUUCGUGAUUCAACCAUAGCUGGAGUUUCUAUAAUUUAUUAAG